AGCGAACGCUGGCGGCAGGCUUAACACAUGCAAGUCGAGCGGGCAUCUUCGGGUGUCAGCGGCGGACGGGUGAGUAACGCGUGGGGACGUGCCUUCUGGCUCGGAAUAACUCAGGGAAACUUGAGCUAAUACCGGAUACGCCCUUUUGGGGAAAGGUUUACUGCCGGAAGAUCGGCCCGCGUCUGAUUAGCUAGUUGGUGGGGUAACGGCCUACCAAGGCGACGAUCAGUAGCUGGUCUGAGAGGAUGAUCAGCCACACUGGGACUGAGACACGGCCCAGACUCCUACGGGAGGCAGCAGUGGGGAAUAUUGGACAAUGGGGGCAACCCUGAUCCAGCCAUGCCGCGUGAGUGAUGAAGGCCUUAGGGUUGUAAAGCUCUUUUAUCCGGGACGAUAAUGACGGUACCGGAGGAAUAAGCCCCGGCUAACUUCGUGCCAGCCGCCGCCAUAA
rnacentral:rRNA from 1 species